rnacentral:rRNA from 1 species
UAGGGAAUAUUCCGCAAUGGGCGAAAGCCUGACGGAGCAACGCCGCGUGAGUGAUGAAGGUCUUCGGAUCGUAAAACUCUGUUAUUAGGGAAGAACAAAUGUGUAAGUAACUAUGCACGUCUUGACGAUACCUAAUCAGAAAGCCACGGCUAACUACGUGCCAGCAGCCGCGUUAAUACGUAGGUGGCAAGCGUUAUCCGGAAUUAUUGAGCGUAAAGCGCGCGUAGGCGGUUUUUUAAGUCUGACGUGAAAGACCACGGCUCAACCGUGGAGGGUCAUUGGAAACUGGAAUACUUGAGUGCAGAAGAGGAAAGUGGAAUUCCCUGUGUAGCGGUGAAAUUCGCAGAUAUAUGGAGGAACACCAGUGGCGAAGGCGACUUUCUGGUCUGUAACUGACGCUGAUGUGCGAAAGCGUGGGGAUCAAACAGG